rnacentral:rRNA from 1 species
CCUACGGGCGGCAGCAGUGGGGAAUCUUGCGCAAUGGGCGAAAGCCUGACGCAGCGACGCCGCGUGGGUGACGAAGGCCUUCGGGUUGUAAAGCCCUGUGGGGAGAGACGAACUGGCUCAUGGCUAACAUCCAUGGGUCUUGACGGUAUCUCUUUAGCAAGCAUCGGCUAACUCUGUGCCAGCAGCCGCGGUAAGACAGAGGAUGCAAACGUUGCUCGGAAUUACUGGGCGUAAAGCGCGCGCAGGUGGUUUUGUAAGUCGGGUGUGAAAUCCCGGGGCUCAACCUCGGACGUGCACUCGAUACUGCUGAACUUGAGUACUGGAGAGGAUCGCGGAAUUCCCGGUGUAGAGGUGAAAUUCGUAGAUAUCGGGAGGAACACCAGUGGCGAAGGCGGCGAUCUGGACAGAUACUGACACUGAGGCGCGAAAGCGUGGGAAGCAAACAGGAUUAGAUACCCCUGUAGUC